rnacentral:rRNA from 1 species
GGCCUUUUGGAUUUAAUUGAAGGUCUGACCUGCCCAGUGAUGAAUUUAACGGCCGCGGUAUACUGACCGUGCAAAGGUAGCAUAAUCAUUAGUCUUUUAAUAGAGGGCUGGAAUGAAAGGUUUAACGAGGAACUGACUGUCUCAUUUUAUUUGUUUUAAAAUUUAAUUUUUUAGUUAAAAAGCUAAAAUUUUGUUGGAAGACGAGAAGACCCUAUAGAUCUUUACAUAAUUUUAAUUAAAUAUUUCUAUAUUAAUAUUUUUAAUUAAUAUUGUGUUUUGUUGGGGUGACAAAAAUAUAAAUAUAACUUUUUUAUUUACAUAACAUUGAUUUAUGAAUAUUAGAUCCAUUAUUAUUGAUUAUUAGACUAAGUUACCUUAGGGAUAACAGCGUAAUCCUCCUCCAGAGUUCAUAUUUACAGGAUGGGCUUGCGACCUCGAUGUUGGAUUAAGAUAAUAAUUAGGUGUAGCCGCUUAAUUUAUAGGUCUGUUCGACCUUUAAAUUCUU